AACACGAUUGUGACUAACAAUCUCCGCUACUUGUAAUUAUAAGUUCCUAACGAUUAGGUGAAAGUCCCUUAUAAUUUAGCACCAGAUUCAAGCAUGCAAACUAAGUAGGCCUCCUUAAUCAACACACAAGAAUAAGUUAUCAAUCAAAUAGAUAAGUAAAUCGCAUUCAUAUUUUACGAAACAAUAACUGAAAGGAAUCAAUUCAUAUUAACAUAUGUCCAUGGCUUCAAAUUCACCACUAACUAAUAAGAAUUUAGUUCCACAUGUUCAUAUCAAUUGAAAAGCAAAUUGAAAUAGACAUCGAAACUGAAACGAAGGAAGAAAGAACUCUUAAAACUCCCAAGGAUGCAGAUGGCUUGCGCACAAGGCCCUCCUUCAUCAAUGGAAUGCACGACAAGGCUCUCCUUCUUCUCCAAAAGGUGCGGCAAAGAUGUAUAUGGAUGUAGGAUGGUGUUUUGUGAUGUAGAAUGGUGAUUAGGGUUGCGGCAAGGUGUUUCUGAAUGGUGUGAAGGGUAGUGACGAAUUUAGGCUUUAAAACAUCUAUUUAUAGGCUAGGGUUUCCACAAAAUCUGAUGGCAAGAGGUUAGGGUUUUGGAGAUAAAAGGCUUGGCCCAUCCAAGGGAGAAAAGAAUUAGGGUUUUAUGUAGAUUUUUAGGCUUCUAGAACACUAGGUGUGGCACAACCCUAGGGUGGAUGGAUUAGGGUUUAAACUUAGCAGAAAAUAAAGGAUUAGGGCCCUAGGGUGCGGCAUGGGCUUAGAACAAAGCUGAAAAAGGAUUAGGAAACUUCCAAUUCAAGAGUAGAAACUUUCAAGAAUGGAAACCUCCAAGAAUAGCAACUUCCAACUUUAGAAACUUUGGUUUCCAAUUCUGAACUAUUUGUUCUUCAUCUUCAUUUCUUCAUUUCUUGCCUCCUUGAUCUUCAAUUUCGUCCAUCCAUUUGACUCCAAGCAUGUGAUAUCCAUUUUAUGCUCAAAACUGCUUCAAAAGGCUCCAAAUUGCACUUUCUCGCCAACUUUGUCAUUUGGACCUACAAACACACGAAAAUAGCUUAAAACACUAUAAUAACCACAAACUAACUAUAAAAGUGCAAGAAAACAAGCUAACUAAGUUGCAUAAAUAUGCUCCUAUCAAAUUCCCCCACACUUAGCUUUUGCUAGUUCUUGAGCAAAACAAAGGAAACAAAACAAACAAAACAUAACCUAAACCUUCCAACAUUUGCCUCAGGGAUUUCCAAUGAAACAUGACACAUUAAAAAUCACUACUCACAUAGAUUUUAGUUAUCCCUACCCUCAAGCGCAUACUUAAUCACAGUCACCACUUACUAGUUCGCAUUUAAUCACAUAAAACAACAUUUUGAAUGUAGUAACAUGCCUUAGAGAAUUCCCUCAAUUUCUCACUGGAUAUACACUCUAUUUUCACACAGAAUUUCUGACUACACUCCCUAUACUAGGUAUAUGUGAGAAGAUUGAUGUAAAUAUGUGGACUAACACUCACAUAAGUUAUAAGCGAAGAAAGCACUUUCUGGAAUUAUUAAUGCAUGUAUAUAUAUAUAUGGUCUCACGAACGGAAUGCUAUUACUUAGACACGAGAACCAGGGAUACCAUAUGCUCAUACCAAUCCCAAACUCCACAUAUUGAAAUACACAACAACCAAGAUUAAAGUCUAAGGGUUGUAAUGGGGCUAAGGGUAUUGGCUAACAAAGAAAGAUAAGGAAAACAAACAUUCUUAAAGCAAUAGUAAGCAAAGUAAUGAAAUUGACACCUAGAAUUCACUUUUGAAUGCAGAAAUCAACUUUUAAACACAAGGGAAGAUUCAUGCAACACUUAGGGUCAAAUUCAAGCUUUUUGGACCCUUUCUUCAACAACCAACACUUUAGAGCUCUUUUUCACAUAUUUUUCAGCUCUUCUUUAUUCUUUUCACAACUUUUCUUUUUCCUUUCUAUUUUCCACGAUUUUUUUCUUCUUUUUCUUUUCUACCCGUGCCUCAUUUCUUCCCCCACACUUGUUUUCUGGAACAAUGUUGAUCAAAAGGAAUUCCCUCUAAGUUUUUAUCCACUAUUCUUUAAGAACAAGGGUGUGGAUAGUCCUAUUCUAGGCUAGGUGAGGAUAAUGUGGCUAACAAAGAAAAUAGGCUAAUUAGGGCUCAAAGGGGUUAAACCUACAAAAACAAAUGCAUGGAAUGAAGGCUUUUUGGCUCUGGUUGUAACUAUUAACAACUUCAUCUUGCUAUAUGUUAUGCAUUCAAUUUUAAGUUUUGAAUGAAAAGGGUAUGAGUUCUAGUAUUUGGAACUAAAGUGAUAAAACGUAUUCUAAGUAGCAACCAAGCAAAGAAUAAUGAGAUCAUCCAACGACUUUAGAAAACAACAAAUCACAGAUUACUAACUCUCCAAAUAAAGUUUAGGCUCAAGUCUCUCAGGGUUGUAACGUUAGUUUGAGUUCCUUCUUUCUAGCAUGUUACAAAAACUUAUCUUUUUGUUUUGUGAUUACAUGUGAAUUCGUAAACGUUAACUACAACCAAGCAUAAAACAAAGAGUAUAUCAAACUUCCAUCCAUGUUUGUAACUUUCUUUAACAGUCAUGCAAUUAAAAAUCAAAUCCUCAUCAUUGUGUUGGAAGGUACCCUAAGACACAAACAAACACACAAAAACAACUCUUUUUGGGUUUUUCAAAACAAUUUUUCAAAUUUUUAUGAGAUUUUUGGAUUUUUAUGUCAAAACACACUAAAAUGCACCAAAACAGCUUAAAAAGACUUAAAGACAGCAAGGAACAAUUUUGGAAGUUAUGGGUGAUAAAAUCCCACGAUUUUGCAAUAAAAACACUUGGUUACCCCCCCCACACUUAAACCAAACAUUGUCCUCAAUGUUUCAAACAUAGACUCACACAUAUGCAAGCAAACAACACGAUUAACAAACAUGACAAACAUGGCAAAGUAAAAACAAGAAAGGGUAGAGUUUAAGAACGCAAAUCUGGUUAUGGAGCUCGAAUUCCUUCAAUCCCUCGUUUGAACACAUGAGUUGCCUCCCAAGAAGCGCUUGCUUUAACGUCUUCCAGCCAGACGAUACCUCCAUUUAAGCUUGAAUAGGGCCCACCACAUGGAGGGGUAUGUCCUCAACGGCAUGCUCCUCAAAUGUCUCACAGUAGGGCUUCAAACGGUGUCCAUUGACCUUGAAUUCAUGUUCCGUCUUCAAACUUUGAAUUUGGACUGCACCAUGAGGAAAAACAUUAGUAAUAACAAAAGGUCCAAUCCAUUUAGAACGCAACUUACCUGGAAACAACCGAAGACGGGAAUUGAAAAGGAACACUUUCUGCCCUAUAGAGAAUGUCUUGCCACAAAUCAUCUUGUCAUGGGUGGCCUUUGCUUUCUCCUUAUAAAUGAGAGCGUUCUCAUAAGCUUCCUUCCUAAUCUCCUCCAGCUCAUUCAAUUGCAAUUUCCUAUGGAUCCCAGUGGCAUCAAUGUCCAUAUUGAAUGUUUUGACGGCCCAAUGUGCACGAUGCUCCAAUUCAACCGGAAGAUGACAUGGUUUCCCAUAGAUGAGCCGAAAUGGGGACAUCCUAAUUGGUGUUUUGUAGGCCGUUCUAUAUGCCCACAAUGCAUCAUUUAAACGCAAGCUCCAAUCUUUUCGAGUUGGUCCCACUGUCUUCUCCAAAAUUUGCUUGAUUUCCCUAUUCGAAACCUCGGCUUGCCCACUUGUCUGAGGAUGAUAAGGUGUUGAAACCUUAUGCGUGACAUUGUACUUCUUGAGCAACGUCUCAAUGGUUUGAUUACAAAAAUGGGAUCCUGCAUCACUAAUGAGCACUCUUGGCAUUCCAAACCUUGCAAAUAUGUUAGUUCUAAUAAAAUCUGCAACUACUUUAGAAUCAUUAGUACGGGUGGCUUUUGCUUCCACCCAUUUCGAAGCAUAAUCCACAACAAGUAAUAUAUAAAGAAAACCAUGGGAGGAAGGAAAUGGACCCAUGAAAUCUAUACCCCAAACAUCAAAAAUCUCAACAGAAUAUAUAGUAUGUUGCGGCAUUUGGUCUUUUGAUGUUAUAUUACCCAUUCUUUGACAACGAUCACAGGUGAUACAAAAGGUUCUAGCAUCUCUAAGGAUAGUAGGCCAAUAAAAUCCACAUUCUAAAACCUUAUGUGUUGUGCGUUGUGUGCCGAAAUGACCCCCACAUUCAUAAGUGUGACAGAAAGUUAAAAUCGAAUGAAACUCGGAAUCAUGCACACACCUACGUAGAAUCUGGUCAGGGCAAUGUUUCCACAAAUAAGGGUCAUCCCAAACAUAAAACCGUGCAUCCUUCUUGAGUGUAUCACGUUGGUGCUUAGUUAGGGUGCUUGGGACAUGCUUAGUGACCAAAUAAUUAACUAGAUCGACAUACCAUGGCUCACUUACCUUAAUGGACAGCAACUGCUCAUCUGGGAAUGUCUCUGGGAUGGGCAUGGCAUUGGCAUCUUCUUCAUGCACCAUUCGGCUCAAAUGGUCAGCCACCACAUUUUCACUUCCUUUCUUGUCCCGGAUUUCCACGUCAAACUCUUGGAGAAGUAGCAUCUAACGAAUAAGCCUUGGCUUGGCCUCCUUCUUUGUGAGAAAAUACUUCAAAGCUGCGUGAUCAGUGUAAAUAAUAACUUUAGUUCCAAAAAGAUAUGAACGAAACUUAUCUAAAGCAAAUACAACAGCAAGAAGUUCUUUUUCAGUGGUGGAAUAAUUCAAUUAUGCAUCAUUCAACGUCCGGGAUGCAUAGUAGAUGACGUGUGGCUUCCUGUCCCUCCUUUGUCCCAAAACAGCCCCUAAUGCAUAAUCUGAGGCAUCGCACAUAAGCUCAAAGGGAAGGCUCCAAUCUGGUAGGACUAUGAUGGGGGCCGAUGUUAGUUUUUCCUUGAGGUGAUUGAAUGCCUUUUCACACUCAUCAUCGAACUUGAAUGUCACAUCUUUUUGAAGAAGUCGGCAAAUGGGUUGGGAAAUCUUGGAAAAAUCUUUGAUGAAUCGCCUAUAGAAUCCUGCAUGUCCAAGAAAAGAAUGAACCUCUCUCACCGAAGUGGGAGAGGGUAAGUAGCAUACAAGAUCUAUUUUUGAUUUAUCAACCUCUAUUCCCUUCGCAGAAACUAUGUGACCUAAAACUAUACCUUGUUUAACCAUAAAGUGACAUUUUUCCCAAUUCAAAACAAGGUUAGUUUCAAUGCACCGGUUUAAGAUUAAAGUGACAUUAUCUAAACAACCAUCAAAUGAAUCACCAAAGACACCAAAGACACUAAAGUCAUCCAUUAAAGUGACAUUAUCUAAACAACCACAAAAUCUGAAAAUAUACUUACCAUGCAUCGUUGGAAUGUGGCUGGUGCAUUACACAACCUGAAUGGCAUUGACAAUAAGCAAAAGUGCCAAAUGGACAAGUAAAAGUAAUUUUUUCUUGAUCAUCUGGAGCUAUAACAAUUUGAUUAUAUCCUGAAUAACCAUCUAGAAAGCAAUAAAAAGAAUGACCGGCUAACUUUUCAAGCAUUUGAUCAAUGAACGGCAAGGGGAAGUGGUAUUUCCUUGUGGUGGCGUUUAGCUUCCUAUAGUCAAUGCACACUCGCCAACCGGUUUGGAUACGUGUAGGCACAAGCUCAUUCUCUACAUUCUUCACCACGGUGACUCCUGAUUUCUUUGGUACAACUUGAACCGGUGAAACCCAAAGACUAUCUGAGAUGGGGUAAAUGACUCCACAAUCAAGUAGCUUGAUAAUCUCCUUUUUCACAACUUCCAUCAUUGGAGGGUUAAGUCGACGUUGAGCCUCUCGAGUUGGUUUAGCCCCUCCUCUAGAAGUAUGUGAUGCAUGCAAGUUGUAGGGCUAAUUCCCUUAAUGUCGGCCAAUGUCCAUCCAAUUGCCGUUUUAUGCUCUUUCAACACACGAGUCAACUUCUCCUCCUCCAAUGCCGUGAGUGAUGAGGAAACAAUGACGGGCAAUGUCUCGUCAUCUCCCAAAAAUACAUACUUCAAAUAGAUCAAUAUAGAAACAAGAAUGAUCAUCCUUAGGAUAUUUAAUAGAUUCAGAAAUAUUGAAAUUAAUAACAUCCCCAUCAAAUUCCAUUGUGAGUGUGAUGUGAAAAUUAACUUGACACACAAAUUAAACCCUAUGGAUGACAAUUGUAGUAUAUGAGCAAAUAGGGAUCGUUCUAAACCGGGGAUUAACUAGGGAUGCUAAUCAAUGUGAAACUGACUCAAGAACAUAAAAACAUAAUGUAGAACACUAAACUAGACUCAAUUAAUGCAAAACUAGAGUUUAAAACACUUAAAUCAACCAAAAACUCAAAACAGCAACUAAAAGACUCAAAACUGCCUUAAAACCACUUUCUGGGCAGUUUUGAGUACCUAACACUAAUUUGGACGAAAUUGGACUAUAACUUGACUCAAGACACUUAAAAACACAACUAAAUUGAUUUCUAACUAAUCUAACACUUUAAAAUAAAUGGGGGAUUGAUUUUGACGAACUUAAAACUUUAAAACUUAAACUUUGAAAACAAACUUAAAGCAAAACAGAUUGUGAUGAAAUAGAAUGAUGAGAAACUAGUUAGAGGGUUCCUUAUCCGCACAUGAACAUAUGCAUACAACUCGAUCUCCAAUUACUCUUUCAACAAACCAUGAAUGACAAUGCCCCAAAUUAACUAGAUUGCACCAAUUAAUUCUCAGAUUUCCCUAGAUUCAUUGAAUUGAAUGGAAUACGCAUUACAACCAAAUUAUUCUUAUCAAGGACCCUAACUAUGGAAUACGCAUGAUAGAGACACAUAUCAAAGAUCAUUAAGUUCAAUGGAAAUCAUAAGCAUUGACGAGGCAUUCAUAACUAUGGGAUACGCAUGUUACUCUUGCCUAGGAUUUACUUAACGCAAUCGUGACUAGCGACUUUUACUACUUAUGAAUAUAAGUUAAUAACGAUUAGGUGAAAUUCCCUUAUACUCUAGCAUCAAGUUUAGGCAUGCAAAUUAAGUGUCGACCCUCAACCCACAUACAUAAACAAGUUAUCAAUCAAAUAGAUAAGUAAACCACAUUCACGAUUUAUGAAAUCAUAAUUGGAAGAAAUCAAGUCAUAUAAAACAUAUGAUCAUGGCUUCAAAUUCGCCUCUAACUAAAAAGAAAUUAGUUCCACAUGUCUAACAUAAUUGAAAAGCAAUUUAAAUUAAACAUGAAAACAGAAACAAGAGAAGAAAAAACUCUUAAAACUCCCAAAGAUGCAGAUGGCUUGCGCACAAGGCCCUCAUUCAUCAACGGAAUGCACGACAAGGCUCUCCUUCUUCUCCAAAAGGUGCGGUAGAGAUGUGUAUGGAUGUAGGAUGGGAUUUUGUGAUGUAGAAUGGUGAUUAGGGUUGCGGCAAGGUGUGUUUGAAUGGUGUGAAGGGGUGGUGACGAAUUUAGGCUUAAAACACAUAUAUAUAGGCACCACAAACCCUAAAGAAAUCAGGUUAGACA
rnacentral:lncRNA from 1 species